GACGAACCGUGCGAACGUUAUUCGGAAUCACUGGGCUUAAAGCGCGUGUAGGCGGGACGGCACGUCGGUCGCUGAAAGCCCCCGGCUCAACCGGGGAACGGGCGCCGAUACGACCUUCCUGGAGGGACGUAGGGGGACCUGGAACUUCCGGUGGAGCGGUGAAAUGCGUUGAGAUCGGAAGGAACGCCCGUGGCGAAAGCGAGGUCCUGGACGUUUUCUGACGCUGAGACGCGAAAGCCAGGGGAGCAAACGGG
rnacentral:rRNA from 1 species